rnacentral:rRNA from 1 species
AUUGAACGCUGGCGGCAGGCUUAACACAUGCAAGUCGAGCGAGCGGCGGACGGGUGAGUAAUGUCUGGGCAACUGCCUGAUGGAGGGGGAUAACUACUGGAAACGGUAGCUAAUACCGCAUACCAUCAGAUGUGCCCAGAUGGGAUUGGCUAGUAGGUGGGGUAAUGGCUCACCUGGGCGGCGAUCCCUAGCGGGUCUGAGAGGAUGACGAGCCACACUGGAACUGAGAAACGGUCAAGACUCCUACGGGAGGCAGCAGUGGGGAUGAUUGGACAAUGGGGGCAAGCCUGAUGCAGCCAUGCCGCGUGUGUGAAGAAGGCCUUCGGGUUGUAAAGCACUUUCAGCGAGGAGGCGUUACUCGCAGAAGAAGCACCGGCUAACUACGUGCCAGCAGCCGCGGUAAUUC